GUUAAGUUAUAACUUUAGAUUUAAAAUUUUAAAAUUAUUGUAAUCAAAUUUCACAGCCAAAUUUAGGGUUACUUUGGUAAUAUUGCGACUAAAAAUGUUAAAUUUUUAUUACAGUGUUUCAAUCUUAUCUUUUUUUUAUAUUAUAAAAUUACGGUUGUAACUUGUAAUCAUUAUUGAAAAAACAUAUGACUACAUACUUUUUUCGAUAGUAGUUGUAACUAUAAUCUUUUAUAGUAUCUAAUAAAGAGAAAUAAUUAAUAGCAUUUUUUAUUUUUUUGGACCGUUAAUAAUAUAAGAAUAAUGUUUUUAACCACAGUAUUAUCAAAUUAGAUUUUAUUUGGCUAAAUAUCGAUAUGCCGUUAAUAUAAUAAUAAUAUUGGUAUAUUUUGAUUGAUAAUACCACGAUAAUUAAAAGUUCUUUCAUCUUUUUUUUUUGAAAAAUAGGUAGCAAGUUACCUGCUUCAUUCAUUAAGCAAAAUGAACUAAGCGUACAAAAUGGAAGCAGUCAGGACCUCCGAAAGAACAGGCAAAAAAGGAUGAAAUAAAAUUGAAAGACAGAAAGAAAACAAAAAGAACGAAAAGAGGAGGGGUGUUAAUAGGGAGAGAAGGGAUAGUAGCUGGAGCCGAAACGACACAUCACGGCAAAGAGUUCCAGUCGUUUAGCAGAAGUUUGACACGUUCAAGAGACCGGAUAGCGUUGUGCGUGGUUUCUCGGAAAAUUGCGUUAUUUCUAUCUGUCCAGAUCACCCACCAAGUCGCAGCGGGAAGGGCCAAGCGUCGUGUUCUUGAAGAGUU
rnacentral:lncRNA from 1 species